rnacentral:rRNA from 1 species
UACGUAGGUGGCAAGCGUUGUCCGGAUUUACUGGGUGUAAAGGGCGUGCAGCCGGAGAGACAAGUCAGAUGUGAAAUCCACGGGCUCAACCCGUGAACUGCAUUCGAAACUGUUUCCCUUGAGUGUCGGAGAGGUAAUCGGAAUUCCCUGUGUAGCGGUGAAAUGCGUAGAUAUAAGGAAGAACACCAGUGGCGAAGGCGGAUUACUGGACGAUAACUGACGGUGAGGCGCGAAAGCGUGGGGAGCAAACAGG